AGUGAACGCUGGCGGUAGGCCUAACACAUGCAAGUCGAACGGCAGCACAGUAAGAGCUUGCUCUUACGGGUGGCGAGUGGCGGACGGGUGAGGAAUACAUCGGAAUCUACUUUUUCGUGGGGGAUAACGUAGGGAAACUUACGCUAAUACCGCAUACGACCUACGGGUGAAAGCAGGGGAUCUUCGGACCUUGCGCGAUUGAAUGAGCCGAUGUCGGAUUAGCUAGUUGGCGGGGUAAAGGCCCACCAAGGCGACGAUCCGUAGCUGGUCUGAGAGGAUGAUCAGCCCAACUGGAACUGAGACACGGUCCAGACUCCUACGGGAGGCAGCAGUGGGGAAUAUUGGACAAUGGGCGCAAGCCUGAUCCAGCCAUACCGCGUGGGUGAAGAAGGCCUUCGGGUUGUAAAGCCCUUUUGUUGGGAAAGAAAAGCAGCAGGUUAAUACCCCGCUGUUCUGACGGUACCCAAAGAAUAAGCACCGGCUAACUUAGUG
rnacentral:rRNA from 1 species